GUUUGACAGAGGUGAUAAAGUUUGUUUUGAAUACUCACACACACUCACGCGCGCGCAGGUCUUGUUUGACUUCCUACAGUAGUGAGGACAUUCCAUGACAUGUUCCUCAGAUCCUGACUCCAUUAACACCUUUUAAAUAACUAAUCCUAACUUAAACUAAGUUUUUUUAUCACGUAGUGUCUUUAUUUCGCACGCAGGGGCGCAGGUAAGGGGGGUUAGGACCAUUCCAGGGCCCCUCAGAGAAAACUAUUAAGCUCAUGUAACUAUGAUGAUAUAUUUUUGAUCUAUUAACAAGUUAUAAAUGAAAUAACCAGAGUAGGGAAGUCAUGCAGAAAAUGGCGAGUUUCUAUAAACUCUUAUUAUUAAACAGACUAAUACUGGGUAGUUCCUCCCUUUGCUUUUAUAACAGCCCCACUUCUGCUGUGUUGUCUGUUUUAUUGUUGUUAUUGUUUUAAUGUUGCCCUUUAAUAUAUUGUUUAAUUCCCUGAUCUAAUGCCCCCUCUCGGCCCUGAAAUGUUUAAAUCCUGUCUCAACCAUGUAACACACUUUGUGGCCGCGUUGUAUUAAUCAUUCAUAUCAUUAUUGUCAGUGGUGAGGUGAACAGUUUAUUGCUCUUCACACACAUUCAUGAAGUGCAUCUGAGGGCAGCACUGUUACUGUGAGGGGUAAUCCAGUAUCUUGCCCCAAGGACGACUGGGAAGACUGGGAUCGAUGAGAGGUGAGGCCUUCUGACAAAUAACAAUCGAAACUGUAAAACAUGCAUUCGUCAACUUCUCCUUUAUGGAGGGAGGCAAACAAAGGAUUUUGGAAAGUGACGGAUGUCCUCGUACAUAUAAUCAUUGACAUUGGUACAGAUGGUUUCACAAAGGAAUUGCAAAUGUCAAAUGUACAACGUAGUAACACAAAGGCUUCGAAUCCCUCUCCUGGAGGAUGGAUGCUCGCUUCUCCUCACAGCCUCAACUCUCUUCAUUCCUUUUCAAUAUUUUCCAAGGUUCCCCGCAUUAGCUCACCUCGGAGAGAUCGGGCUGUCACUCACACUCGCAGCUGAGGCCCUGCAUGGCGGUGAAGGUCACCCGUGGGCAGUGCCACUGUGCUGACACGCAGCUCAGAGAGACAGAUUGUUAAGAUCCACGUGACGACUGAUGGAUUCCAGUAAUUUCCAGGUUUCAAGAGUGAUGAGGGAGAAGUGGCACCGCGUGGGAGUGAGGAGGCAAGAGCGCGUCCUCCAAUCACAGCCGAGAGUCGCCGCCCGAGGCUGCACUGUGCACGACACUUCAGUGUGUGGUUAUUCUGCACGAGGGGCUGCACAACGUGUCCUGAUACUCUCCUCUCAGCGACUGUAUCCUGUCACCUACAUCCAGUGGUGAUGAACAACGAGCCAAUAAUCAGGAGGACGAGCCGAGUGACGCAGACAAUCUGUCCUCAUUGGACUUGAUGAGGAGAACCACAUGUACCUGAGAGCUGGGAGGCUGCUGGUGGCAAUUACAGCUAAACACCAGCUGUUCCAGGAUCUCCAUCAACAUCUGGAGCCGGUGGAGCGAUGCUGAUUACCACCGGUGAAAGGUGACGCCGAGUUGUCAUUGGUUUUCACGUCCGCGUCACCUGAGGGGACGACGCUGGAUUCAGCCCCUGUGCCACAUUUGGGAUGUGCUGCACACUGGAGGAUAAAUGGUUCUGGUUUCCUGAUGGUUUGCAUUAAUUAAACCUCUCAGAUAGCA